AAGAAAGUCAUAGGGGUUAUGGGGCUGGCUUGAAACCAGCUUUAGGAGGUUCAAUUCCUUCCUUUCUUG
rnacentral:tRNA from 1 species